UGGAGAAGACACUGUCCCACGUAUAUCCUAGAGUGGGGAUCAUACCACUUCACACUAUUUAGGGGAGCCAUUAAGGAGCCAUUAAGGAGGCUCCAUCCCAUGUGAAUGCGAUUAUAUUAAUUUAUUUAAUUUACCCAUCUUAUUCUGAUCUACUACUCUAUGUAGUGUAUUAUUCUGUUUUUAUUUCAUAUGUUUGAUCAUCCACC